rnacentral:rRNA from 1 species
UGCAGGCGAGGGAUUGGGUAACUAACACCGUCGUACGGGUGCGUAACGCGUAUGCAACCUACCCAUCACAGGGGGAUAGCCUUUGGAAACAGGGAUUAAUACCGCAUAAAGCAGGGGCUUGGCAUCAAGAUACUGCUAAAGAUUUAUCGGUGAUAGAUGGGCAUGCGUCUGAUUAGUUAGAUGGUGAGGUAAUGGCUCACCAUGACGAUGAUCAGUAGGGGGCGUCAGAGCGUGGUCCCCCACACUGGCACUGAGAUACGGGCCAGACUCCUACGGGAGGCAGCAGUAGGGAAUAUUGGGCAAUGGAUGCAAGUCUGACCCAGCCAUGCCGCGUGGAGGAAGAAGGUCCUCUGGAUUGUAAACUCCUUUUGUCGGGGAAGAAGAGUUCUCUUGCGAGGGAAUGUGACGGUACCCGAUGAAUAAGCCACGGCUAACUACGUGCCAGCAGCCGCGGUAAUACGUAGGUGGCAAGCGUUGUCCGGAUUUAUUGGGUUUAAAGGGUGCGUAGGUGGUUUAUUAAGUCAGUGGUGAAAGCUGGUUGCUCAACAAUCAAGUUGCCAUUGAUACUGAUAGACUUGAGAGAAGUGGAGGUUCAUGGAAUGGAUGGUGUAGCGGUGAAAUGCAUAGAUAUCAUCCAGAACGUCGAUUGCGAAGGCAGUGGGCUGUACUUUUUCUGACACUGAGGCACGAAAGCGUGGGGAUCAAACAGGAUUAGAUACCCUGGUAGUCCACGCUGUAAACGAUGCGAACUAGCUUUUUGGUUUAGGAUUAGGAGGCUAAGGGAAACCGAUAAGUUC